GAUGAACGCUGGCGGUGUGCUUAACACAUGCAAGUCGAACGGAAAGGUCCCUGCUUGCAGGGGUACUCGAGUGGCGAACGGGGGAGUAACACGUGGGUUAUCUGCCCUGCACUUCGGGAUAAGCCUGGGAAACUGGGUCUAAUACCGGAUAGGACGAUGGCCUGGAUGUCAUUGUGGAAAGUUUUUCGGAGUGGGAUGAGCACGCGGCCUAUCAGCCUGUUGGUGGGGUAAUGGCCUACCAAGGCGUCGACGGGUAGCCGGCCUGGGAGGGGGGACGGCCCCAUUGGGACUGGGGUACGGCCCAGGCUCCUACGGGGGGCAGCAGGGGGGAAUAUUGCACAAUGGGCGCAAGGCUGGUGCGGCGACGACGCGUGGGGGAAGGCGGCCUUCGGGUUGUAAACUCCUUUCGCUAGGGGCGAAGCGCAAGUGACGGUACCAGGAGAAGAAGAACCGGCUAACUACGU
rnacentral:rRNA from 1 species